rnacentral:tRNA from 1 species
GCCUCGGUGGCGGAAUUGGUAGACGCGCCGGAUUCAAAAUCCGGUUCCUUCACGGGAGUGUCGGUUCGAGUCCGACCCGAGGUACCA